rnacentral:lncRNA from 1 species
AAUACUAUGUAUGGGCUUAUGUGGUCUGGGUAUGGGCUUCUAUGGGGUGUCAUGGAUUCUAUGGCUUCUAUUGGGGUUCUUAUGGGGAUCCAUUGGGUGGUUAUGGGGCUCUAUGGGGUGUCUAUGGGGCUCUAUGGGGGGACGGGAGCCGUGUAUGUCUGUAGGGUCGGGAAGGAGCUGGGCUGUAUACAGGUGGGUCUAUGGGGCUCUAUGGGGUGGUUAUGGGGUUUUAUGGGGUUAUAUGGGGUCCUAUGGGGCUCUAUGGGUUCUUAUGGGGAUCCAUUGGGAGGUUAUGGGGCUCUAUGGGGUGGGUUAUGGGGCUCUCUGGGGUGUCUAUGGGGCUCUAUGUGGUUCUUAUGGGGUGUCUAUGGGGUUCUAUGGGGUGUCUAUGGGGCUCUAUGGGGGGACGGGAGCCGUGUAUGUCUGUAGGGUCGGGAAGGAGCUGGGCUGUAUACAGGUGGGUCUAUGGGGUGCCUAAGGGGCUCUAUGGGGUGUCUAUGGGCCUCUAUGGGGUUUCUAUGGGGCUCUAUGGGGCUCUAUGGGGUCUCUAUGGGUCUCUAUGUGUCCCUAUGGGUCCCUAUGUGUCUCUAUGGGGUCUCUAUGGGUCUCUAUGGGGUUCUAUGGGGUGGUUAUGGGGUCUCUAUGUGUCCCUAUGUGUCUCUAUGGGGUUUCUAUGGGGUUUCCGGUUGUGCCCCAUAGCGCAUCGAGGGCCGCGUGUUGUCUAUGGGGCUGCGGCACUUUGGGACGGCGCUGGAUGGGACCCACGACCUCAAUGGGGACGGGGGGCCAGACGUGGCUGUGGGGGCCAUGGGGCAGGCACUCAUCUUCAGGUAUGGGGCGGUUAUGGGGUGGUUAUGGGUCAGUUAUGGGGCUGGUUAUGGGGCAGGCACUCAUCUUCAGGUAUGGGGUCACUUAUGGGGCUGGUUAUGGGGCUGGCUAUGGGGCAGGCACUCAUCUUCAGGUAUGGGGCGGUUAUGGGGUGGUUAUGGGGUCAGUUAUGGGGCUGGUUAUAGGGUCACUUAUGGGGUGGUUAUGGGGCUGGUUAUGGGGUUGGUUAUAGGGUCAGUUAUGGGGCUGGUUAUGGGUCAGUUAUGGGGCUGGUUAUGGGGCUGGUUAUGGGGUCAGUUCUGGGGCUGGUUAUGGGGCUGGUUAUGGGGCUGGUUAUGGGUCAUUUAUGGGGCUGGUUAUGGGUCAGUUAUGGGGCUGGUUAUGGGUCAGUUAUGGGUCAGUUAUGGGGCUGGCUAUGGGGUCAGUUAUGGGGCUGGUUAUGGGGCUGGUUAUGGGGCUGGUUAUGGGGUUGGUUAUGGGGCUGGUUAUGGGGUCAGUUAUGGGGCUGGUUAUGGGUUCGGUUAUGGGGCGGUUAUGGGGCUGGUUAUAGGGUCACUUAUGGGGUGGUUAUGGGGCUGGUUAUGGGGCUGGUUAUGGGACGGUUAUGGGGCUGUUUAUGGGGUCAGUUAUGGGGCUGGUUAUGGGUUCGGUUAUGGGUCAGUUAUGGGGCUGGUUAUGGGGUCAAUUAUGGGGUCAAUUGUGAAGCUGGUUAUGGGGCUGAUUAUGGGGAUGGUUAUGGGGCUGGUUAUGGGGCUGGUUAUGGGGUCAGUUAUGGGGCUGGUUAUGGGUCAGUUAUGGGGUCACUUAUGGAGCUGGUUAUGGGUCAGUUAUGGGGUCACUUAUGGAGCUGGUUAUGGGGCUGGAUAUGGGGCCGGUUAUGGGGCAGGCUAUGGGGCAGGCACUCAUCUUCAGGUUUGGGGCGGUUAUGGGGUGGUUAUGGGGUCAGUUAUGGGGCUGGUUAUGGGGCUGGAUAUGGGGCCGGUUAUGGGGUCGGUUAUGGGGCUGGUUAUGGGGUUGGUUAUGGGGUCAGUUAUGGGGCUGGUUAUGGGUCAGUUAUGGGUCAGUUAUGGGGCUGGUUAUGGGGCUGGUUAUGGGGUCAGUUAUGGGGCUGGUUAUGAGAUAGUUAUGGGGAUGGUUAUGGGGUCAGUUAUGGGGCUGGUUAUGGGUCAGUUAUGGGUCAGUUAUGGGGCUGGUUAUGGGNGUUAUGGGUCAGUUAUGGGGCUGGUUAUGGGUCAGUUAUGGGUCAGUUAUGGGGCUGGUUAUGGGGUUUCCGUUCCAACUUCCUGUUUCGGUUCCCGCAGCUCCCGCCCGGUGGUGUCGGUGUCGGCCAUCUUGUCGGUUCCGGUUCGUCGCCUCCCCCACUCGUGGGGUCGAUGUGGGGCAGGAGGCGUCGCCGUGGGGCUGCGGCUCUGCUUCCAAACCGAGCUCAGCAGCAACACGUACCGAGGUCGCCUCCUCGUCCCCAUCCAUUUCCUCUUCCGGGUCGACUCUCAGCGCCAUUGGCCACGUGGUCAAUUCACUUCCGGGUCAACCACGUGGGAGGACCGGAUGUUGUUGGAAGGGGGAGAGCGGUGCGUCAACAACACGGUCCUCCUGCAGCCGUGCCCCGAGGACUCGCUGACCCCAAUGAGGCUGGCCGUCAAUUACUCCCUGGACCCCGAAUACCCCACAGACCCCACAGACGACCCCAUUGCCGUCAUAGACCCCAUAACCAACUCGGCCUGGAUUGAGGUGCCGUACGAGCAGCGCUGCGGCUCGGCCGGGCUGUGUGACCCGAUGUGA